AUACGUAGGGGGCGAGCGUUGUCCGGAAUGAUUGGGCGUAAAGGGCGCGUAGGCGGCCCGGUAAGUCUGGAGUGAAAGUCCUGUUUUUAAGAUGGGAAUUGCUUUGGAUACUGUCGGGCUUGAGUGCAGGAGAGGUAAGUGGAAUUCCCAGUGUAGCGGUGAAAUGCGUAGAGAUUGGGAGGAACACCAGUGGCGAAGGCGACUUACUGGACUGUAACUGACGCUGAGGCGCGAAAGUGUGGGGAGCAAACAGGAUUAGAUACCCUGGUAGUCCACACUGUAAACGAUGAAUGCUAGGUGUAGGGGGUAUCGACCCCUUCUGUGCCGCAGUCAACACAAUAAGGAUUCCGCCUGGGGAGUACGGCCGCAAGGUUGAAACUCAAAUGAAUUGACGGGG
rnacentral:rRNA from 1 species